rnacentral:tRNA from 1 species
AGAUGAUGAUCCCAAGCCUUCUGGCGAUCUAGACAAAACAAGUCCACCGUGGGCUUUGAAAAACGCUUUCCUUGAUAAAAUUUAAGCGUUUUAUAAGAGGAUGCCGGGGAAGGUUUUCCGGUUUAUCCCGGAGGGCUUGUAGCUCAGUUGGUUAGAGCGCGCGCUUGAUAAGCGUGAGGUCGGAGGUUCAAGUCCUCCCAGGCCCACCAGUUUAUCCAUUACUUUCAUAAGUGCUUUUAAAAAAUAAGUACUUCUAAAAAGAUUGCUUCUAAAAAGAUUGCUUCUAAAAAGAUUGCUUCUAAAAAGCUUAUCAAAAUUGGCAGGCUUAUUGCUUUUGUGUGAGUAAUCCAAAGUUAAAGCAAAUUAAUGGCAAAAAAACAGUUCAAAUGCUAAAUACUAAGGAGUCAAAAUUCCUUGCAAAGUGAUUUUUACAGCGUCCAUUUGGUUGAUAUAAAUUCCAAAUGCUCAUAGACGUCAAUGCCUAUAUGAAACUAUCGGUUCAAUCAUAUCGCUUUGAGUUAUAUAGAUUUUGUAAUCCCUCUUUUGAUCGUUUUAAACGCUUUAUCCUGAUUUAGGGGCCGUAGCUCAGCUGGGAGAGCACCUGCUUUGCAAGCAGGGGGUCGUCGGUUCGAUCCCGUCCGGCUCCACCAUAAGGUCAUCAUCAUUGUUGUAAGAACA